rnacentral:rRNA from 1 species
GUAGGUGGCGAGCGUUGUCCGGAUUUACUGGGCGUAAAGAGCGCGCAGGCGGCUGGUCAAGUCCGAUGUGAAAGCUCCCGGCUUAACUGGGAAAUUGCAUCGGAAACUGAUCGGCUGGAAGGUGGGAGAGGGUAGCGGAAUUCCCGGUGUAGUGGUGAAAUGCGUAGAUAUCGGGAGGAACACCAGUGGCGAAAGCGGCUACCUGGCCCAUUCCUGACGCUGAGGCGCGAAAGCUAGGGGAGCAAACGGGAUUAGAUACCCCGGUAGUCCUAACCGUAAACGAUGAACACUAGGCGUAGUCGGUAUCGACCCCGGCUGUGCCGUAGCUAACGCAUUAAGUGUUCCGCCUGGGGAGUACGGCCGCAAGGCGU